GGCACGGUAGCGCAGUGGUUAGCACUGCUGCCUCACAAUAAGGAGGUCCCAGGUUUGAGCCCCGGCCGGCCA